UCUCUGUAGUUAAGUGUGUGUGUGUGUGUAUGUAUAUGUAUACAUACAUACACACACACGCACUUAACUACAGAGAUA